UUGACAAGCAACUGAAGGCGGAACACAUUGCAAAAAGUUCUUUGUCGUGAAGUUCUAGAAGAUUUCAUUACGGUUGCCAGGCUCAUGUACCACAAUGUUGUUAUUAUUUUUCCCGCGUUUUGGCUAUCACGUUGGGGACUUAAUCAUCCAGGAAAAAAGCAUGGUCUGUAAAGUAUUCAAAGCAAUGGUUUGUGUUUUUUAUUAUGUGAGAUAAGCUUUUUCGGUUGUCUGUUUAUGUUCUUGUUUUAACUCACAUUAUAUAUGUAGGUCUCUUAGUAGAUUUAAUUAUUUUUGUAGGGCAUGGCAAUUUAGUUCUUGAGAAAGGACAAUGGUUGAUUCUUGGGCACCCAUGUCACUCUUUAUUAGUGAGUGAUCCAACAUUUAUACUAGUAUGCCUAAUAGCAGCAUAUCGUCAACAACUUAUUAUUUUCAGCAAGAUUGGUGGCAGUGAGCAUGUGAAGUUGCAGGGAGGAGAAACAAUACUGUGGAUUUGCCAGUAUGAUUAUUGCGGUUGAAUCUCAGACAUAGUCCUGAUCCGCCAAAUUCCUAAUAUGUUGUUCAAGAAGGUCAAGAUCUUGUGGCAUUACAAAGUUAGUGAAUGGAUUUCCAAAUUUUCUAAAGAGAACACAUUCAACCUUGGAAUCAUGUUGAAACCUGUGUCAAAUCAAUUUUAAUCAAGUGACUUAAUUACUAGUGCUAAUAGGUUAUUUUACCAAACAAUAAGGAUUCUUUGAUAAGCAGAUGAUGAUGCAAUUGAUUGUAGUUGCUGUAAUGCAAAGGGAAAAUAGUAAGUUUCACUAAAUUCUCUUUGAUUGAAAACAUCUCCUUCAAGAAAAGGUGCGAUGACGAUGAUGUAUUUUUCUUCUUCAUUCAGGCGUGAAAGAAACCAGCUUAUACCUUCAUGGGCCACACUCUCCCACUGGUGUUCAUCCGUAUGAUCGUCGAUCUGUUUGAGUCUCGCAUGCAAAGCGUCUUUCAACAUCUUGACAGAACUUCGGAGUCGCUCGUCAUUAGAAUGAAGGAGAAAUAUUGCCACUGAUGACAUUUGCCUAUGUUUAAUUCUGUUGCUGCAUUUCCCUUUCUUUGCUUUGUUGUGUUUCUUUAGAAAAAUGACGGUCGCAGUCAAGCAGCUCAACAAUAAAACGGUUACCGAUCCAGUGACAACUACUUUCUGGUAAUUCGGGUCGUGUUACUUGAUCUUGUACAUGGAAGAUUAGUCGACGAAAAAGGAUAUAUGCAUCUGACAUCGACGGGGGUAACCUGUUUGAAGCAAAGAAAGCUAAAUCAAAAUGACAGCGGCUCGGUACAUAUAUCUGUUGACUAAAGAAAAAAAACAUAACAUGAGCAACGAUAACAAAUCGCAAGGACACAAAUAAUUGUCUCUAGCCGCAACUUGCCAAUCAACAAAUAAAUAGAGGCCCUGCAAAUAGAAAACCAGGAAUGGUAAGAAUAAAGAAACGGCCUCUCUUUCUCCUAUACGCAGCAAACUCUUCCCACAGAACAGUUUUGAUCUCCUAAGUGUGCGGCUUACGGAGUGCACUACUAAGUGUCGUAAUCCAUUCAACGUUUUGCGGUUGCUAUGCGUUACAUCGCUGCUCUUCAAUCCUCUGGGUUCAGUAGGAGCAUGGACUGUAUUGCUGACAGAAUGCUUUAAUCUGGAAAUUCCCUCCUUUAAGGCAAGGUUAGCUCUGUUGCUGGCUGUAAAUUGUUUUUCUUGAUCUGGAGGAAUGCAGGAUAGGUUGGUAUAUGUCGAAGCGACCCUGACCCAUCGGUACUUUCGUUGGAUGGAAUUCUUGCUACUCGUUUAAGACGUGGUUUGAAAGAAAGGCUGUGAGUGGCAUUCGCAUCAGUAGCGACUAACUCAUUCUCUCGUUUUGAGAGCUCUCCCUCAAAAGACGAAGUAGGUUGACUUUUGAAGACAUUUUUGCUUCUUGACUGUCUUGCAGGAAUCGCGCGGGAUCUAAAGGACGAUUUUAAGGAAUCCUUUUUUUGGAUCUUGCGCAAGUUUUCGCCAACAAUGAGGUCGGCCGUCAACUUAUCACCGCGAGAUACGGAUGUCGUUUUUGCCUGAAACGGUAAAUCUUUUUAAUAAGGAAAUUAAGCUCUUCUCGAUACGACAUACCUUUACAUUGGGUGGCAGUGAAACGGGUGGUUUCUGUAUUAGCAAAUAAUUCUGGCGUUUAUUGCCAAUGGCGCGAACGGUUACCUCUCCGGUAACCGGAGUAGUGCUCGAAGAAUUCUUGUCAUGUGCUGUUUUUACAGAUGCACAGUAACUUCCCAGA